UGCAAGUCGAGCGGGGGAAGGUAGCUUGCUACUGGACCUAGCGGCGGACGGGUGAGUAAUGCUUAGGAAUCUGCCUAUUAGUGGGGGACAACAUUCCGAAAGGAAUGCUAAUACCGCAUACGUCCUACGGGAGAAAGCAGGGGACCUUCGGGCCUUGCGCUAAUAGAUGAGCCUAAGUCGGAUUAGCUAGUUGGUGGGGUAAAGGCCUACCAAGGCGACGAUCUGUAGCGGGUCUGAGAGGAUGAUCCGCCACACUGGGACUGAGACACGGCCCAGACUCCUACGGGAGGCAGCAGUGGGGAAUAUUGGACAAUGGGGGGAACCCUGAUCCAGCCAUGCCGCGUGUGUGAAGAAGGCCUUAUGGUUGUAAAGCACUUUAAGCGAGGAGGAGGCUACUAGUAUUAAUACUACUGGAUAGUGGACGUUACUCGCAGAAUAAGCACCGGCUAACUCUGUGCCAGCAGCCGCGGUAAUACAGAGGGUGCGAGCGUUAAUCGGAUUUACUGGGCGUAAAGCGUGCGUAGGCGGCCAUUUAAGUCAAAUGUGAAAUCCCCGAGCUUAACUUGGGAAUUGCAUUCGAUACUGGAUGGCUAGAGUAUGGGAGAGGAUGGUAGAAUUCCAGGUGUAGCGGUGAAAUGCGUAGAGAUCUGGAGGAAUACCGAUGGCGAAGGCAGCCAUCUGGCCUAAUACUGACGCUGAGGUACGAAAGCAUGGGGAGCAAACAGGAUUAGAUACCCUGGU
rnacentral:rRNA from 1 species